rnacentral:rRNA from 1 species
GAUGAACGCUGGCGGCGUGCUUAACACAUGCAAGUCGAACGGAAAGGCUCCUGCUUGCUGGGGUACUCGAGUGGCGAACGGGUGAGUAACACGUGGGUGAUCUGCCCUGCACUUCGGGAUAAGCCUGGGAAACUGGGUCUAAUACCGGAUAGGACCACAUUUUGGAUGGUGUGGUGGAAAGUUUUUCGGUGUGGGAUGAGCUCGCGGCCUAUCAGCUUGUUGGUGGGGUAAUGGCCUACCAAGGCGUCGACGGGUAGCCGGCCUGAGAGGGUGUACGGCCACAUUGGGACUGAGAUACGGCCCAGACUCCCACGGGAGGCAGCAGUGGGGAAUAUUGCACAAUGGGCGCAAGCCUGAUGCAGCGACGCCGCGUGGGGGAUGACGGCCUUCGGGUUGUAAACUCCUUUCGCUAGGGACGAAGCGUAAGUGACGGUACCUGGAGAAGAAGCACCGGCUAACUACGUG